GAUGAACGCUGGCGGCGUGCCUAAUACAUGCAAGUCGAGCGAACGGACGAGAAGCUUGCUUCUCUGAUGUUAGCGGCGGACGGGUGAGUAACACGUGGAUAACCUACCUAUAAGACUGGGAUAACUUCGGGAAACCGGAGCUAAUACCGGAUGAUAUUUUGAACCGCAUGGUUCAAAAGUGAAAGACGGUCUUGCUGUCACUUAUAGAUGGAUCCCGGCUGCAUUAGCUAGUUGGUAAGGUAACGGCUUACCAAGGCAACGAUGCAUAGCCGACCUGAGAGGGUGAUCGGCCACACUGGAACUGAGACACGGUCCAGAGUCCUACGGGAGGCAGCAGUAGGGAAUCGUCCGCAAUGGGCGAAAGCCUGACGGAGCAACGCCGCGUGAGUGAUGAAGGUCUUCGGAUCGUAAAACUCUGUUAUGAGGGAAGAACAUAUGUGUAAGUAACUGUGCACAUCUUGACGGUACCUAAUCAGAAAGCCACGGCUAACUACGUG
rnacentral:rRNA from 1 species